AGUUACCCUCUUCGUGGUUCAAAUGGAGCAGUUAAACUCAGGGCCCAAGUUGGAAAAUCUGACAUAAGGAAUAUAUGCUUCCAAACCUCGUGACACCUGGUAGUUAUGUUCCAGAUUCUGGCUCCUGGGUCCAUGGGAGCUAUUUCUCUUCCUGGAGAUUCUCUACUUGGACACCCCCUUCAGCCUAAAGAUCCCGGAAACAUCAUGAGGAGCUCUCGUAGGAACUGUUGGAUAGAAGCAACUCUGUUGCCACACUGAAGACCAGAUUCUGGAGAUCCAGCAUGGGAAUCCAAGCCUGAGACGUGCUGCAGAAGAUAAGUACAGACUCCUCAAAGGUGUAACAAAGGCCGAGGACUUGGAAGUCAAGAGACCUGUGUGCAAAUCUGCCUUUCAUUAUAACUGUUUGAUCCCACUUAAAUCACUUAACUGCUUUGAACUUCAAUUCCUCUUUCUGUAAAACAGGAAUACAAUUACAGUACCUACUUCACAGUUGUAAUUAAUGAACAAACAAAUGCGCAAAGGAUCCAAUAUACAGUAG
rnacentral:lncRNA from 1 species